CAUAUGCUUGUCUCAAAGAUUAAGCCAUGCAUGUCUCAGUACAAGCCACAUUAAGGUGAAACCGCGAAAGGCUCAUUAAAUCAGUUAUGGUUCCUUAGAUCGUACCCACAUUUACUUGGAUAACUGUGGUAAUUCUAGAGCUAAUACAUGCAAACAGAGUUCCGACCGGAGACGGGAGGAAUGCUUUUAUUAGAUCAAAACCAAUCGGCGGCGGGCGCGCUCGCGCGUCCGUUCGCCGCUCAAUUUGGUGACUCUGAAUAACUUUCGGCUGAUCGCACGGUCUCGCACCGGCGACGCAUCUUUCAAAUGUCUGCCUUAUCAACUGUCGAUGGUAGGUUCUGCGCCUACCAUGGUCGUAACGGGUAACGGGGAAUCAGGGUUCGAUUCCGGAGAGGGAGCCUGAGAAACGGCUACCACAUCCAAGGAAGGCAGCAGGCGCGCAAAUUACCCACUCCCGGCACGGGGAGGUAGUGACGAAAAAUAACGAUACGGGACUCAUCCGAGGCCCCGUAAUCGGAAUGAGUACACUUUAAAUCCUUUAACGAGGAUCAAUUGGAGGGCAAGUCUGGUGCCAGCAGCCGCGGUAAUUCCAGCUCCAAU
rnacentral:rRNA from 2 species